CCUGGUGGCUCAGAAGGUAAAGCGUCUGCCUACAAUGCAGGAGACCCAGGUUUGAUCCCUGGGUCAGGA
rnacentral:tRNA from 1 species